rfam:Oryza sativa Japonica Group DNA, chromosome 5, cultivar: Nipponbare, complete sequence.
AUCCCAUGAUGAGGACAGGCAGCCACGUACUCCUGCAGUCGUUCCCAUUCUUCCAGAAUAGUCUCGUCCCUUGUCUGCUGGAAACUGGAAAACCUUCCACAAAGGGC